rnacentral:tRNA from 1 species
UAUUGUGGCUCAGUGGUAGAGUGCUCGCCUAGCACAUGACAGGUGCUGGGUUCAAUCCUCAGCCUAAAAA